rnacentral:rRNA from 1 species
AGGUGGUUAUAGCGACGGGGCUCACCUCUUACCAUUCCGAACAGAGAAGUUAAGCCCGUUAGCGCCGAUGGUACUACAUUUGUGGGAGAGUAGGUCGUUGCCUUUCU